rnacentral:rRNA from 1 species
UACGGGGGGGGGCAAGCGUUGUUCGGAAUUACUGGGCGUAAAGGGCUCGUAGGCGGCCAACUAAGUCAGACGUGAAAUCCCUCGGCUUAACCGGGGAACUGCGUCUGAUACUGGAUGGCUUGAGUGUGGGAGAGGGAUGCGGAAUUCCAGGUGUAGCGGUGAAAUGCGUAGAUAUCUGGAGGAACACCGGUGGCGAAGGCGGCAUCCUGGACCACGACUGACGCUGAGUGAGCGAAAGCCAGGGGAGCAAACGGG